rnacentral:rRNA from 1 species
CGCGUAGGCGGUCUCUAAAGUCAGAUGUGAAAGCCCGGGGCUCAACCCCGGAAGUGCAUUUGAAACUGAGAGACUUGAGUAUGGGAGAGGGAAGUGGAAUUCCUGGUGUAGAGGUGAAAUUCGUAGAUAUCAGGAGGAACACCGGUGGCGAAGGCGACUUCCUGGACCAAUACUGACGUUGAGGCGCGAAGGCGUGGGGAGCAAACA